rnacentral:rRNA from 1 species
UACGAAGGGGGCUAGCGUUGUUCGGAAUUACUGGGCGUAAAGCGCCCGUAGGCGGACUACUAAGUCAGGGGUGAAAUCCCGGGGCUCAACCCCGGAACUGCCUUUGAUACUGGUAGUCUCGAGUCCGGAAGAGGUGAGUGGAAUUCCGAGUGUAGAGGUGAAAUUCGUAGAUAUUCGGAGGAACACCAGUGGCGAAGGCGGCUCACUGGUCCGGUAUUGACGCUGAGGCGCGAAAGCCAGGGGAGCAAACGGG